GCCCCGAUAGCUCAAUGGAAAGAGUGCUUGCCUUCGAAGCAAGCGAUAGAGGUUCGACUCCUCUUCGGGGCA
rnacentral:tRNA from 1 species